rnacentral:rRNA from 1 species
UACGUAGGCAGCGAGCGUUGUUCGGAGUUACUGGGCGUAAAGAGUGCGUAGGCGGUUUUCUAAGUUUGGUGUGAAAUCUCCCGGCUUAACUGGGAGGGUGCGCCGAAGACUGGAAGGCUUGAGUAUGGGAGAGGUAAGCGGAAUUCCUGGUGUAGCGGUGAAAUGCGUAGAUAUUGGGAGGAACACCAGAUGCGAAGGCGGGUCACUGGGCUGAUACUGACGCUGAUGCGCGAAAGCCAGGGGAGCGAACGGG